ACGGGAGGCAGCAGUGGGGAAUAUUGGACAAUGGGGGAAACCCUGAUCCAGCGACGCCGCGUGAGUGAAGAAGUAUUUCGGUAUGUAAAGCUCUAUCAGCAAGGAAGAAAAUGACGGUACUUGACUAAGAAGCUCCGGCUAAAUACGUGCCAGCAGCCGCGGUAAUACGUAUGGAGCAAGCGUUAUCCGGAUUUACUGGGUGUAAAGGGAGCGUAGACGGCGAAGCAAGUCUGAAGUGAAAUGCCGGGGCUUAACCCCGGAACUGCUUUGGAAACUGUUUUGCUAGAGUGCAGGAGAGGUAAGCGGAAUUCCUAGUGUAGCGGUGAAAUGCGUAGAUAUUAGGAGGAACACCAGUGGCGAAGGCGGCUUACUGGGCUGUAACUGACGUUGAGGCUCGAAAGCGUGGGGAGCAAACAGGAUUAGAUACCCUGGUA
rnacentral:rRNA from 1 species